AGGUGCAAAACGGGGAGCCCGGCGCACCGGGCUGAGAGGAAGACAGGCAUCGGUCUUCGACCCGCAGAACCUGAUCCGGGUAAUGCCGGCGGAGGGACGAGAUGAAUGCUCUGAGU
rnacentral:ncRNA from 2 species